CGUAGGAUAUUUGAGAGGAGCUGCCCUUAGUACGAGAGGACCGGGGUGGACUGGCCGCUGGUGUAUCUGUUGUUCUACCAAGAGCAUGGCAGAGUAGCCAAGCCGGGAAGGGAUAAACGCUGAAGGCAUCUAAGCGUGAAGCCCCCCUCAAGAUGAGAUAUCCCAUAACGUCAAGUUAGUAAGACCCCUUGAAGACGACGAGGUAGAUAGGGCAGAGGUGGAAGUGUGGCAACACAUGGAGCUGACUGUUACUAAUCGGUCGA
rfam:Lachnospiraceae bacterium 2_1_46FAA genomic scaffold aclXT-supercont-complete, whole genome shotgun sequence.